rnacentral:rRNA from 1 species
AACGCUGGCGGCGUGCUUAACACAGCAAGUCGAACGGUGAUGUCAGAGCUUGCUCUGGCGGAUCAGUGGCGAACGGGUGAGUAACACGUGAGUAACCUGCCCCCGACUCUGGGAUAACUGCUAGAAAUGGUAGCUAAUACCGGAUAUGACGAUUGGCCGCAUGGUCUGGUCGUGGAAAGAAUUUCGGUUGGGGAUGGACUCGCGGCCUAUCAGGUUGUUGGUGAGGUAAUGGCUCACCAAGCCUACGACGGGUAGCCGGCCUGAGAGGGUGACCGGCCACACUGGGACUGAGACACGGCCCAGACUCCUACGGGAGGCAGCAGUGGGGAAUAUUGCACAAUGGGCGAAAGCCUGAUGCAGCAACGCCGCGUGAGGGAUGACGGCCUUCGGGUUGUAAACCUCUUUUAGUAGGGAAGAAGCGAAAGUGACGGUACCUGCAGAAAAAGCACCGGCUAACUACGUGCCAGCAGCCGCGGUAAUACGUAGGGUGCAAGCGUUGUCCGGAAUUAUUGGGCGUAAAGAGCUCGUAGGCGGUUUGUCGCGUCUGCUGUGAAAUCCCGAGGCUCAACCUCGGGUCUGCAGUGGGUACGGGCAGACUAGAGUGCGGUAGGGGAGAUUGGAAUUCCUGGUGUAGCGGUGGAAUGCGCAGAUAUCAGGAGGAACACCGAUGGCGAAGGCAGAUCUCUGGGCCGUAACUGACGCUGAGGAGCGAAAGCAUGGGGAGCGAACAGGAUUAGAUACCCUGGUAGUCCAUGCCGUAAACGUUGGGAACUAGAUGUGGGGACCAUUCCACGGUCUCCGUGUCGCAGCUAACGCAUUAAGUUCCCCGCCUGGGGAGUACGGCCGCAAGGCUAAAACUCAAAGGAAUUGACGGGGGCCCGCACAAGCGGCGGAGCAUGCGGAUUAAUUCGAUGCAACGCGAAGAACCUUACCAAGGCUUGACAUAUACCGGAAACAUGCAGAAAUGUGUGCCCCGCAAGGUCGGUAUACAGGUGGUGCAUGGUUGUCGUCAGCUCGUGUCGUGAGAUGUUGGGUUAAGUCCCGCAACGAGCGCAACCCUCGUUCUAUGUUGCCAGCACGUAAUGGUGGGAACUCAUAGGAGACUGCCGGGGUCAACUCGGAGGAAGGUGGGGAUGACGUCAAAUCAUCAUGCCCCUUAUGUCUUGGGCUUCACGCAUGCUACAAUGGCCGGUACAAAGGGCUGCGAUACCGUAAGGUGGAGCGAAUCCCAAAAAGCCGGUCUCAGUUCGGAUUGAGGUCUGCAACUCGACCUCAUGAAGUCGGAGUCGCUAGUAAUCGCAGAUCAGCAACGCUGCGGUGAAUACGUUCCCGGGCCUUGUACACACCGCCCGUCAAGUCAUGAAAGUCGGUAACACCCGAAGCCAGUGGCCUAACCGCAAGGGAGGAGCUGUCGAAGGUGGGAUCGGUGAUUAGGACUA